CCAACAGGUGGCAUCAUACACGCGAGGUGUGUGGUGUUGCUCUUUCUCUGGAAACAGAGGUGGGCCUGUGGGAUCUCCCUUGUGAAAAAAAUGUGACUUUCCUCAGUAAACAGAUACUAGCUGACAGGAAUUUAGGCAUCAUUGUGUAUUGUGCACACUUUCCUGGAAGUUUAGAGAUCUGAGCCCUAGGUUCUCAUAAGAACCCCUCACCACUGUCUCCAUCAAAACCACAGUCCAGAAUCUGCCCAGCAGCUGCUGCCCCACAUUGAGAGAUGAGGUGCCCACCCAUGUUAUAAGAGGAAAACAGAAAAAAGGAAGCUAAAUGCUUACAUCUCCCUGCCUUAUCAUGGCCUCAAUGGAGGCACCAGGGGUACAGUGCUCCUCAAAAAACGAAAGAAGUCUGGAGGCGUGAGGUCGGGGGAGCAGUUCUGGGAGGCGGCAGGACGACUGCUCAGUGAAUGGACUUGGCUCUGUGAUAAGAGGCUGGCUCCAUCUGAUCCACCAGAAAACCCCACCAAGUCCACCCCAAGAAACCACCACCCGCAGAGGCGGUUAAAACUGCGUGUCACCUUCGAGCUGUGUUCUGGAGUGAGCACCCUGAUUCCUCAGUGCAGCCCACUCUCAGAAAGGCUGGGAGCCCUUGCUGAAAUGUAAACCAGUGCAGGGACAACUCUGGCAGAGUCCUUUCUAAAGGAGACUCAGAUUCACAGCUCGUCCUUCCCUUAAGCCCCACCUCCUGGAACACUCGGCUUCCAUGGGGCUGUGGCAGCGGCAAAGGGAGCCCAAGGUGCCCAAGCAUGCUGCUUUGCCCCGUCCCUCUCUCUCCUCCCAGACGUGACUGGUCUUAGAUCCACCUGCCUAGAGGCUGGCAAGGUGAGUAAGCACCUGCUUUUGUGUCAGCACCACACAUCUCUCCUGCGCCUCCAGCAGCUUCCUGUCUCCUUCAGUACCAGGCACAGCUCACCCUGGGCACUGUGGUCUCCUCUCAGCUCAGGGUCUCCUCAGUGCUGUUCA